rnacentral:rRNA from 1 species
UACGUAGGGUGCAAGCGUUAAUCGGAAUUACUGGGCGUAAAGCGUGCGCAGGCGGUUGUGCAAGACAGAUGUGAAAUCCCCGGGCUUAACCUGGGAACUGCAUUUGUGACUGCACGGCUAGAGUGUGUCAGAGGGGGGUAGAAUUCCACGUGUAGCAGUGAAAUGCGUAGAGAUGUGGAGGAAUACCGAUGGCGAAGGCAGCCCCCUGGGCCAAUACUGACGCUCAUGCACGAAAGCGUGGGGAGCAAACAGG